rnacentral:rRNA from 1 species
CAAGUCGAGUGCGCGUCUGUAGCAAUACAGAUGGCGCACGGCGCACGGGUGCGUAACACGUGGGCAAUCUGCCCUUCGAUGGGGAAUAACUCCGGGAAACCGAAGCUAAUUCCGCAUAACAUUCCUUGGACCUCGGUUCGGGGACUCAAAGCCGUAAGGCGUCGAAGGAGGAGCCCGCGCCCGAUUAGCUAGUUGGUGAGGUAACGGCUCACCAAGGCAAUGAUCGGUAGCUGGUCUGAGAGGAUGGCCAGCCACACUGGAACUGAGACACGGUCCAGACUCCUACGGGAGGCAGCAGUGGGGAAUCUUGCGCAAUGGGCGAAAGCCUGACGCAGCGACGCCGCGUGGGGGAUGAAGCAUCUCGGUGUGUAAACCCCUUUCGACUGGGACGAAUGCCUCGCAAGAGGAGUGACGGUACCAGUAGAAGAAGCCCCGGCUAACUACGUGCCAGCAGCCGCGGUAAGACGUAGGGGGCCAGCGUUGUUCGGAAUUACUGGGUGUAAAGGGUUCGUAGGCGGUGUGGCAAGUCGGGAGUGAAAUCUAUGGGCUUAACCCAUAGGCUGCUUCCGAAACUGCCGUGCUUGAGUGUGGGAGAGGCGCGUGGAAUUGCAGGUGUAGCGGUGAAAUGCGUAGAUAUCUGCAGGAACACCCGUGGCGAAAGCGGCGCGCUGGACCACUACUGACGCUGAGGAACGAAAGCUAGGGGAGCAAACAGGAUUAGAUACCCUGGUAGUCCUAGCCCUAAACGAUCAGGACUUGGGGUGCCACCCGUUCGGGUGUCGUCCCGGAGCUAACGCGUUAAGUCCUGCACCUGGGGAGUACGGUCGCAAGACUGAAACUCAAAGGAAUUGACGGGGGCCC